AAUGAUUUAUGACAGUGGUGUUUAACCUUUCUUGUUAUGCGAGCUACUUUCCUAUAUUGUUAUUCAGCAAUCUACUUUCUUAUUAUAGAUCAUGUUCUCUCAAUCCGAGAAGCUUGCCCCAACCUGAUAUUUAAUUAUAAUACAACUAUGCGGUUAAAUGUGCUGACUCACUUCAGAGGACCCAUUCUCCCAGCCCUGAAAACUUUAUUUGUGUAUUUAAAAAUUUAUUUAUCACUUUUAAUUAUUUUUAUUCAACAAAUAUGUUGAAUAAAAUAUUUAUUUUUCUAUUUUGGAAAACUAAAGUUAGAAAAAACAACAGAUUGAUUAUAAACAUAUAAGUUAUAGGAAAU
rnacentral:lncRNA from 1 species